UAACAGAUGUUGAACUGAUCAUUGCAAUUUAAACCUCAGGUGUACUUAAUUUGGAAUCCCAGUGUGACACAGCAGGGGCAAAAGAUUCAGUGUGGAAGAAACGACAAGAAAAGGAUUAGGAGAUCUGUUUCUUCACCUUUAAUGAGGUAUCCUCCAUUCCUGGAAUGCUCUCGCAUCUCACCUCUACCUCUUGGAAUCCUUAGCUACCUUAAAGACAUAAAGUUGCCAUUUCCUUUCUCUUGCGUUUUCUAAUUAUUAUGAUCUCCCCACCUACUAAAAACAAAAAAGAAGGAAAGAAAAGGAAAAAAAGAAGGAAGAGAAAAAAAUUUCUCCAGUGGAAUGAAAGCCCCUUGAAGGUAAGAACUGCUUAAUUUUUGUCUUUAUAUUUUAGAUGCUAAAGCUAAGAUGGAUAGAGAGACUAGUG
rnacentral:lncRNA from 1 species